UCAAAGGGAUUGACGGNCCCNCACAAGCAGCGGAGCAUGCGGNUUAAUUCGACGCAACGCGAAGAACCUUACCAAGGCUUGACAUAUACAGGAAUAUGGCAGAGAUGUCAUAGCGUUAAAACGUCUGUAUACAGGUGGUGCAUGGUUGUCGUCAGCUCCGUGUCGUGAGAUGUUGGGUUAAGUCCCGCAACGAGCGCAACCCUCGUUCUGUGUUGCCAGCAUUUAGUUGGGGACUCACAGGAGACUGCCGGGGUUAACUCGGAGGAAGGUGGGGAUGACGUCAAAUCAUCAUGCCCCUUAUGUCUUGGGCUGCACGCAUGCUACAAUGGCUGGUACAAAGGGCUGCAAUACUGCAAAGUGGAGCGAAUCCCAAAAAGCCAGUCUCAGUUCGGAUUGGGGUCUGCAACUCGACCCCAUGAAGUCGGAGUUGCUAGUAAUCGUAGAUCAGCAACGCUACGGUGAAUACGUUCCCGGGGCUUGUACACACCGCCCGUCACAUCACGAAAGUCGGUAACACCCAAAGUCAGUGGCCCAACCGCAAGGAGGGAGCUGCCAAAGGUGGGAUCGGUGAUUGGGAUGAAGUCGUAACAAGGUA
rnacentral:rRNA from 1 species